AGUCGUAACAAGGUCUCCGUUGGUGAACCAGCGGAGGGAUCAUUACCGAGUUUACAACUCCCAAACCCCUGUGAACAUACCAAUUGUUGCCUCGGCGGAUCAGCCCGCUCCCGGUAAAACGGGACGGCCCGCCAGAGGACCCCUAAACUCUGUUUCUAUAUGUAACUUCUGAGUAAAACCAUAAAUAAAUCAAAACUUUCAACAACGGAUCUCUUGGUUCUGGCAUCGAUGAAGAACGCAGCAAAAUGCGAUAAGUAAUGUGAAUUGCAGAAUUCAGUGAAUCAUCGAAUCUUUGAACGCACAUUGCGCCCGCCAGUAUUCUGGCGGGCAUGCCUGUUCGAGCGUCAUUUCAACCCUCAAGCCCAGCUUGGUGUUGGGACUCGCGAGUCAAAUCGCGUUCCCCAAAUUGAUUGGCGGUCACGUCGAGCUUCCAUAGCGUAGUAGUAAAACCCUCGUUACUGGUAAUCGUCGCGGCCACGCCGUUAAACCCCAACUUCUGAAUGUUGACCUCGGAUCAGGUAGGAAUACCCGCUGAACCUAAGCAUAUCA
rnacentral:misc_RNA from 1 species